CGUGCGAUAUUUUUUGUUGUUGCCAAUUCCCAGCAACACUAGUGUGUAAAUACUAGCGUUGCUAAAAACAGCUAGGCAAUUCGUGAUUUGAUAGUUAGCUAACAACCACAAUUAAUUAUCAAUAACCACACACACAGUCCAGUAUUGCUAAGCCAAAAGGUUUAUUGAAGCGCAACAGAAAAUUAGAACUGAAUAGUACAAAAACCUCUAAAAAGCACCCAUACUCUGUCAGAUGAACAUGUAUGAGUACAGACUAGCACUGACAAGUCUAACAGAAAUGUUACUAGUUACCUGAUUGACAGUGUGAUCAAUAAUCAAAAUGACAAGAAUAUUUAGCGGACAGCUACAAAAGGAGUUUCAGUGUCUGAUAAUUCACUGCAUGGGAAAAUACACAGGAAUAGAAUCGUAUUGGCCUGAAUGGGAAUACCUGUUAUAGGGAUUGCAUUUCUAAGGGAAAAUACACAGGAAUAGAAUCGUAUUGGCCUGAAUGGGAAUACCUGUUGUAGGGAUUGCAUUUCUAAGGGAAAAUACAGUAACAUGCCAUAGGACGCACAGGAGGUUGGUGGGACAUUAAUUGGGGAGGACGGGCUUGUGGUAAUGGCUGAAGCGGAAUGCCAUUAUUAUGAGCCGGCCCCCCCUCAGCAACCUUCACCAGUAGGUAGGACUUAUCCAUUACAAGUAGUUCAGAGGGGAACAAGAGCAAUAGCAGGUCACACACAGAAAGGACACGCAUACUAGACUGAACACAAAGAAAAAUAUAGUUAUAAAACUCUGGGAAACACUGUUCCCGAUAAGUUACUCCACCCUUCAGUGAAAUAUGGGAGUCACUGCCCCCGAUACAUACAAACACACACUGGUAGGCAAAAACUACCAUCAAUGCUUGUCAUUAUGAAAGACACUGCUCCCGAUAAUGGUUCAGAUCAGAAAUAUAAACUGCUCCAAAAUAACUGGUUAACAGAAAUGGCUCUUUUGCUGCCUGAAUGAUAUUAUUUCAGGAUAUACAACUCUAUAUAAACUAUAUAAAGCUUGUUUAAUAAGUUCAGCUCAAAGAGAUUUGAGCCUGUUUUCCUUGAUGUUGCAUCUGAAAUGACACCCUAUUCAGUUUACUACUUUGAACCAGUCUUUUAAGGCUUUCUAAAACAGGGUGAAAUCUCAGAUGUGGCCCAAGUAGCUAGCUCUGACAUGUUUAAAACAUGCCACAUUGAACACUCUGAAUUUAAGUGCAUGCAUUUCAGCCAAU
rnacentral:lncRNA from 13 species